rnacentral:rRNA from 1 species
UACAUAGGGGGACUGAGAGGUUAACCCCCCACAUUGGAACUGAGACACGGUCCAAACUCCUACGGGAGGCAGCAGUGAGGAAUAUUGGUCAAUGGACGAGAGUCUGAACCAGCCAAGUAGCGUGAAGGAUGAAGGUUUAUGGAUUGUAAACUUCUUUUAUACGGGAAUAACGAAUCCACGCGUGGAUUUUUGCAUGUACCGUAUGAAUAAGGAUCGGCUAACUCCGUGCCAGCAGCCGCGGUAAUACGGAGGAUCCGAGCGUUAUCCGGAUUUAUUGGGUUUAAAGGGAGCGUAGAUGGGUUGUUAAGUCAGUUGUGAAAGUUUGCGGCUCAACCGUAAAAUUGCAAUUGAUACUGGCAGUCUUGAGUACAGUUGAGGUAGGCGGAAUUCGUGGUGUAGCGGUGAAAUGCUUAGAUAUCACGAAGAACUUUGAUUGCGAAGGCAGCUUACUAACCUGUAACUGACGUUGAUGCUCGAAAGUGUGGGUAUCAAACAGGAUUAGAUAC